UACAGAGGUCCCAAGCGUUGUUCGGAUUCAUUGGGCGUAAAGGGUGUGUAGGUGGCGCCGUAAGUCGGGUGUGAAAUUUCGGAGCUUAACUCCGAAACUGCAUUCGAUACUGCGGUGCUUGAGGACUGGAGAGGAGACUGGAAUUCAUGGUGUAGCAGUGAAAUGCGUAGAGAUCAUGAGGAAGACCAGUGGCGAAGGCGGGUCUCUGGACAGUUCCUGACACUGAGGAGCGAAAGCGUGGGGAGCGAACAGG
rnacentral:rRNA from 1 species